CUCGCCUACGGGAGGCAGCAGUAGGGACUCUUCCACCCUGUGCGAACGCCUGAGGGAGCAACGCCGCGUGGGUGAAGAAGGUCUUCGGAUCGUAAAACCCUGUUGUUAGAGAAGAAAGUGCGUGAGAGUAACUGUUCACGUUUCGACGGUAUCUAACCAGAAAGCCACGGCUAACUACGUGCCAGCAGCCGCGGUAAUACGUAGGUGGCAGGCGUUAUCCGGAUUUAUUGGGCGUAAAGGGAACGCAGGCGGGCUUUUAAGUCUGAUGUGAAAGCCUUCGGCUUAACCGGAGUAGGGCAUUGGAA
rnacentral:rRNA from 1 species